UAUUCAUAAAAUCGAGGUGU
rnacentral:siRNA from 1 species